UUCUAAAAUAGCUUAAACCUAAAGCACUAACUUUGUAACUUAGAGAUGGACAAUACUCCUUUUAGAU
rnacentral:tRNA from 1 species